rnacentral:rRNA from 1 species
UACGUAGGGUGCGAGCGUUAAUCGGAAUUACUGGGCGUAAAGUGUGCGCAGGCGGCCGCGCAAGUCGAGUGUGAAAGCCCCGAGCUUAACUUGGGAAUUGCGCUCGAAACUACGUGGCUGGAGUGUGGCAGAGGAAGGUGGAAUUCCACGUGUAGCGGUGAAACGCGUAGAGAUGUGGAGGAACACCGAUGGCGAAGGCAGCCUUCUGGGCCAACACUGACGCUCAGUGCACGAAAGCGUGGGGAGCAAACAGG